rnacentral:snoRNA from 1 species
UUGACCCUGAAUCAAGGCUAGCAGUUUGGUGGAGCUGUUGGCUUCAAGCAAGAUCCUAAAGAAAUGUCUUCCUUUGGUCUGUUGGCCAUUUCAGGACUUGGAAAUGUAAUGAUCAAGUCAUUAGAAAGAAACAUCU